rnacentral:lncRNA from 1 species
UGUUUAUCACUCUAAAAUCAUUUUAUUUAUGAUCAUAAUAAAAUUACUAUUCAAGCAGAAGGAUCCAUAAAUAUUAUCACUCCAUAUGCAAUUUUAAUUGGUCUCAAGAUUGCUCAAGCCGAAUGAUUCAUAAAUAUCAUUGAAUCAGACUUCCUUUUAAUAGUUUACUUCGCUUCUUGUGAAACUUCUCAACUUCAUCCUUAUGCUUUGCUUAUCAUAAUAAUUUUUACUUUCGCAUAGGGAUUGCAACAUCUCUAUUCGGCACACUCUUAUAGAGGAUAAUGAAUGUCUCGCUUAGCUUUCAAAGAUUAGAGUUUCCUCCAACAAUACCUUAAAGAUUUAGAAUAAAUAUCAUCCAAAACCAGUGUCAUGUUGACGACUGAUGGUGUAGGCGUCUCUUGUCCCUGAACUUAGUUUCCUUUCUUAGCUUCCUUCCUUUAGUGUAAGAGAGAGUAAAGGAGAUAGUUAUUUUCAUUAUGUUGCUCUGAUAUUGUAACAUCAGGACCGAAUUUAAUAAUAUGUUCUUGACUUUUUUUCUUGGAUCUUGAGAAAAUAUUACAUAUUUUAUUUUAUUAUGAGGAUAUUUGUA